rnacentral:rRNA from 1 species
AUGGCCGCUAUCGACGAGGCCUCUGGCCGCCGGGCGGCCAGCUGCUUCUUCGAGGUCGGCCAGCGCGAGAUCGGCUCAUCCAGCUCCCGCCGAAUCAGCGGCUCCGAGGGCCUAAUUUUGCGGAUGAACCAAUAUGGAAAGUUGCGAGGUCAUAGUGGCUGUGUUAAUACUAUAAGCUUCAAUCCUGCUGGUGACCUCCUUGUGUCUGGUUCAGACGACACAGACAUCAUACUAUGGGACUGGCUUGCUAAAACUGAAAAACUAACUUACCCUUCUGGACAUCAACAAAAUGUCUUUCAUGCUCGUGUGAUGCCAUUUACAGAUGACAGCACCAUUGUGACCGUUGGUGCUGAUGGCCAGGUUAGGGUGGGACAACUGAAGCAGGGUGGUGGAUUCACAACCAAACAAAUUGGGGAACAUCAUGAUCGUGCGCAUAAGAUGGCUCUCGAACCAGGAAGUCCUCACAUACUUUACAGCUGUGGAGAGGAUGGCUUGGUACAACACUUUGACCUGCGCAGUGAUUCACCAACAAAGCUUCUCACCUGCUAUUCAUUCUCAAAUAGAAGGCGCCGUGUAAGACUGAAUACCAUUGCUAUUGACCCACAGAACCCUAAUUAUUUUUCGAUCGGUGGCUCCGAUGAGUAUGUACGGCUGUAUGAUUUUAGGAAAAUAAACUUGGACUCUUCAAGCAAUAUGAACCUACCAGUUGAUACCUUCUGCCCUGAGCACCUUCUUAUGGGCGGGAAGGUCCACAUCACUGGUAUUGCAUACUCUUAUUCAAGCGAGUUACUUGUCUCAUACAAUGACGAGCUUAUCUACCUGUUCGAAAACUAUAUGGGUCUUGGUCCGAAUCCUGAAUCAACACAGCCAGAGCAUUUGGACAAGCUCGAGCAGCUACAAUCAUACUCUGGUCACAGAAAUUUCAGAACUGUUAAAGGAGUCAGUUUCUUUGGACCCAAUAAUGAAUAUGUUUUGAGUGGGUCAGACUGCGGGCAUUUGUUCAUUUGGAGGAAAAAUGGAGGUGAAUUGAUGAGGAUCAUGCGCGGCGAUAAACAUAUCGUUAAUUGCAUCGAACCCUAUCCGCAUUUUCCCUUCCUAGCUACUAGUGGGAUAGACAGCACCAUUAAGAUUUGGACACCUUCGUCAAGCAAAGUGAUGCAAUUGCCUCAAUAUGCAAAUAAAGUAAUAGCUUCAAACGCGCGGGAGAGGCAAUUUUAUGCCUCCCGAGGAGAAAUGACACUUUCAGCUGACGUCAUGAUGCGUAUCUUAAGAUUGCAAAAUACACAAUCUGAACUGUACGCAAAUCAUGAACCAUCUGCUGCCGAUUUCGCAACUGGUGGUGAUGAGACUUUCUUCAUUGGGCUUGGUGAUGGUGAUGGGAACCAAAGAUCGAACUCUGAUCCCAGGGAACGCAUUGUGACAUGA